UUUGCUUUGUUCAACACAAACUUGCUGUUUCCUGCAGCAGAGCACUUUGCCUCCCUCCUCCCUGUGCCGCCACGGGAUUGCUGUGAGCAGGAUGCAACGCAGCUCCAUCUGUGUGCAGUGUUUGUAUGUGCUUCUGCAUAACGAUUCUGAGGAUUACAGGUAUGGUCAGAAACUUUUUAAUGUAGUAUGAAAUAGUUGCACUGAGCGCAGCCCUUUCUGACCCAAGACCUCCACACCUAGCAUAGAACAGCAGUAAAUCCUGAGGCGGAUUAAGCAGUAUCCUCACAGUAAUGUGUCUGUUGGAGUUUCACUUAACCCAGUGUAGCUUGAAACAUUUGGAUAUUCCAGUCUGUUUCCCUUCUGUAUGUGGAAAGUUGAUGGCAGGGCAGCAUCCUGAACUCUGACUCCCUGUAAAAGUUUAAAUUGCUGCCCUGCUGGGCUGGGUGAAUGCUAAUUGCUUUGCUGCUCACAAUGCGUCCAGACUGCUUAUUUAACAGAAAUCCCCAAAGACACUUCUUUUGCAUGCCAAAUAUACUGCACUCAACAAAACACACAAAAUAGCAGGCCUGUUUGCAUACAGCAAUCACAAAUCUGAUAUUUAGCAACCUUUAAGGAUGAUCUCAGUUCUCCAUUCAAUGCAGCAGUGCUCACCGCACACUGCCUGCAGCGGCAGCUGCAGCACAAACACCAGGCAUGCUGCUCCUGGGAGAGCAGAGCAUGUCCCCAAAUGAUUGCCUUUGGUCUAGGACUGGGGUGUUCAAAGAAAGCACAGCUUCUUUCAAUCAGUUGGGAGGGAUUUCUGGGCUUUGACCUGGACAGGCAUUAGCAGAGGUGCGUUUGCAAUAAAGGCAAAGCUGGGAAGCACAGCGCAAGAGCCAUGUGUUAGGAGCUGCAUCUUCUUGGGGGUCUCAACACCUCUGCUGCUCCUCAGACAGGAGACUAAGAAUUAUUAACAAUUCUGUGACAGCAAUACUAAUCAGCAGGAAAACCAAAACUCGCUUGUGAUUGUUCAAUUCCUGUAGGUAAUCAUUAUGUACAAUUAGAACCUCUCGGUGGGCAGGCUCCAGGCAGCAGUGCCCUUCGCAGGCUGCUCGCUGCUCCAUGGGGAGUUCUCUGGGGUCUGUGCUGCACACCCUGUACCUGACUGCGUUCCUGCCACGUCGUGACAUGAAGUCACUGGAGCGUGGAUCUGAGCAGCCACAAGAACUGCUUCCUGCCAGUUGGGGCUUUGCACUGGGCCACAGUAUGAGCACUGAUUUUUUUCUCAGCUUUGGUGGGAAGUACAGGGCUGGUGGUCACAAUCAGUUGGCCGUGACCCCUGAAUCUUCUGAAAAGUGGUGUUAUGUUGCUAGCUUUUUUCCCUAUGUAUAGGGAACAAACCUGUUUAUUUUCAGCCAGGAUGAGUUUGCACUGCGUGACGAUGACAGUCUGGAUUUGGUUUUUGUCAAGGAGCAUCCAGAUUGCUGAGCUCUGGGAGAACCCAGGAUAAACACCCGCAAGAGAAAUGAUCACAGCAGCACCUGAUGUUCCUGAGGAGGAAGAUUCACCUGCUACAGACCCCAGUAGACUGCAGCCAUGCUGUCUCUGUUGUGCAUCCUGCCCACCGUGCUGAACCAAAAUGCUUUGCAGGAGCCCCACGGCCCAGCAUUGGUUCUUGGGAAUGUGCUGUUGCUGCACCUUCGAAAGCAGUGCCCAGGGAGAACAUGAGCACAUACAGGUGAUGGCAAUGGUGAGGUGAGAGCAUGGCUGGGAUGUGCCACUUCACUGCUGCUCGUGUGACUUGGUCAGUGCACGGUGUGUGGCCACUUCUGUCCUGCAGCAUGGGGUCAAGAACAUGUUUGGAAACUAGUUAAAGUGAAGGUGCUUCAACUGUUAUUAGGCAGAGUACAAUUUUGGGGAGGGAAACAGCCUGAGUCCAACUGAUGAGAACAGGAAAAAAACUGGGAAUCUCAUGGUGUUUCAGACUCAUAAAAAGUGUGACUAAAUCAACAAAUAGAGUAUUCAUUAGGAAAAAUGCACUUAAUUUCAGACCAGGGAUGUGGAAGUGCCAUGAGAGUUUUCCUGGAGAAUUUUUAUCCCAAUCAGAAAAAAGAAAAGACUGCAAUUAUUAAGGGAGCCUGUUCUUCAGAGAGCACCAACCCAGUUUUCUGUACCCAGGAGGUCUAAGCAAUCUCACAUAAGUUUUGGCUGAGCAGCUCUUUCUCCCACUGUUGUCUACACUGGAUGAGACGUGAGACGUCUCAUUGCUGUGUUCCGAAUCAGCCGCAACGCUGAACUUCUGAGACCUUACUGAAUAGGAAGAUAAGGGAGCAGUAUGAUCACUAGGGCCAUCUGUGUGGAUGAAAAGCUUUAAAGCCUCACCUGUAGGUAAGGGUUGACUUCAGCAAGCUGCCUGAGCUAGCCAAGCAGCGACACGGGAUUUGGGAACAACGCACGUGGAGAUGCUCAGUGCUGCUCAGGAAUGGGAUGCUAAGAGCCAUAGCAGAAACCAUCAGAGAAGGAUCUCUCCUCUUCAGAGCCACCCACAGCUUCUCCCUGUACCAAACACAAUGCUGGAAAACCCCUCACCUGCCUCACCCUCAGCCAGCAGAUGUGCAAAAGCGUCUCUGCAUUGUACACGCGUGGGCACCCUGCAGCCAGCUUCUUCCUGCAUCCUGCAUGCUGUGGCUUAGGGGUGCUGGAACAGCAGCUCAACACUUCAGAUUACACACUGGGUUUGUUACUUUUGUGAGAAGAUAUUUCUGGACCCUCUGCCAGCCCUCAGUUUGUAGUAACUGAGAAUGUACUAGUUCCGGAGCUUAGGAUAUUUUAUGAAAGGAGGAAAAAAAAAAAGAUGAAGGAAAAAUGAUUUUGAUCUGAGACAGAAAUUCAGACAAAGGAUUACCCGUGUUGUUUGAACAGACAGUGCAUAAACAUUACUUUCUAUUAGAAGGAACGGAGACUUGCAACAUUCAGGAAACUACUUUAUUCAUGAAAUAAAACUAGGCCCAUUCUGCUUAUUCAAAUACCACCCACAACUUUCUGGGGAAAGAUCAUAUGCAGAGCAUAUUUGGAAACAUUAUUAGGAAUGCAUAAAGUACAGUAUUAGUCAAUUUUAUAUGCUCAGUUGCAUGAAAUCUGUGUGUUUAAAAAAUAUAAUAAUUUGCAUUUCAUGGCUUUUGAUAACCUCAGGAGUGCACUUGAAAUUCAGCACAUGCCCACAGCACCUCCCAGCUCACCCCAUUUUUAACUGAAGACCAAUGGUUUCUAUUAAGGGAUCAGGCAGGGACUCUGACAAGCCAGUCAAUAACUAUGUGAGGUUACUUCAUUAAUGCUAUAAUGGCUGAUAGAGUGAGAGGCAAAAAACAGGUUCCUGACAGCAGCAAAUGAAAAUGAUAGAGAUUCCUGAAGCAACGCGCCUUUCCUUUGUCAUUGUCUUUUGCUUGGCUUAUUCAAAAUGUGGCAUUUAUGUAUUCAGCCUUGAUGAAUGUUGCAGGCUUUAAGUACUUUUUCCAUCUCUAAUGCAGUGCCGAUUGCACAUUGUUCUUUCUUUCUCUCCCUCUCUUUUUUUUUUUUUUUUCCUAUAACCUCUGCUGUCAAGGCACUGUGAGCUGAAGGGUUGCAGGCACCGGCUAAAUAGCUUUUUUGCUGUAAACGGCAAGGGUGACGGGACAAUGCAUCACCAGCGCCGCGAGGUCAGGCAGCCGGCGGGUGGUGGAGGUGGGGGUUGCCUCAAGCUGCUGCCGGAGCCCCCCGGCAGGGCAGCAGGACCCACCCUGUGCUGCCUGGCCACAGGGCUCUACAGGCGCCCUGCUCCACGAGUCUCCUCCAGAGCAGCUCCUAGUCCAUGAGAGCAUUGCCUCCUAGUCCAGAAGAACGUUUCUGCUACCCUGCCCGACAGCGGGGCCGCGUGGGGAAGGUGUGUGUCAGGUAAUGGUGCUGGGGAACAGAGCUCAGAACGCUUCUGAGUAUCGCGCAGAAAUGCCUACGUUGCGGUUGGAAAUGUGAUAUUCUUCCGGUUUGCUUCCACUCUUGCUUUGUGUCAUUCAGGAAUGGCUGAGUAGCCUGGGUCUGUUCAGCCUGGAGGAAAGAAGACUGAGGAGGGAACUGAUUGAUGUAUAUCAAUAUCCAAAGAGAGGCGGGAGGCAAAUGGAUUAGGGCAGGUUCUUCUCAGGGGUGCAUAGUGAGAGGAGAAGGAACAGUUGCCUAAAACUUGAAUAUAGGUGUAACAGAAAUGCUAAGUCACAGCUUGAAACAAUGAUUGAACACCUGGUGGAAAGGCAGGGCCAACUCAGGGAAGCUCAGGUGCAUGCAAUGUCCCAAACUGACUGGAAGGGAUGGAGCCAGUAUGCACCCCUUCCCAGACCUCAUGUAAGGGCUGGCAGUAGAGGCAAGGGUACCUCAUCUGGAGAUCCCUGCACACCUGAGGCCUUCUGAAGUGAAUAAUUGACUCGCUGUUCCAAUGAAAUUCAACUUCAGAAUUUAUUCUCACUGCAUCACUCUGGUUCAAUUUUUCUCUGAAUCAAGUUCUGUCCAGAUGGGAUUGUUCCCUGCACCAAGUUCCUCCUCUCCUGCAAGUCCUGGAGCACAGUGCUGUAGUCAUCAGGAUGAUGUGUUUUGCUUUGUCCCAUCUGGAGGAGGAGACACUCGUUGUCUUUAGGUUUGUGCCUUCUAAACAUUUCAUUCUGUGGAUUUCCUGUGAACUUAGUGAAAGAAGUGAGAGGAUAUUUCUCUAGCAAUUAUUUUCACGUGCCUGCAGAUGAAGCAACAUACCUGAAAUGUAGAACUGUGAAUGCUGGUGGACAACACUCUUUCUAAUGUCCUUUCUAUCCUGAAAUGUGGACAUGCUGGUGCUGCAGUCCUGUAGGCGUUAGAGAACACGUGGUGCUCUGGGCACCUUCCCAUCUGGAGCUGGGCUGAGUUGUGCCAGGGCAGAGGUGCAGAGCUCAGCCGAAAGCAGUGCCUUGUCUUACCCGGCCCUGAGUCUGCCAAGGGUGAGGGACAGCAUGGCUACAGCAGCACAUCACAAAUACAUGCCCUAUACGCAUGUAUAAGAGGAUUUACCUUGGGGUAUUUGAAGUGGAAGGAUGAAACUGAGCAAAGCAAAACUUACAGUGAUGCAAAGGACUCCUGAGAGAUGAAGGGAAGCCUUGCCAGGUUGACUGGUGAAUGCUGAGGUGGGAACAGGCUGAGAGGAAAUACUUCAAUUGUCGGCAGGAGGAACGAGGUGUCCUAUGGGAUUCUCAGAGUGAUUCAAAGAGUGUCUGUUUUCAUGUUUUGUUUUGUAAUUGACCAAAACAUACACAGCGGAUUCUCACAGGGCUGUGCUGAGCCAAUGCUCUUGCUGAAGUCAAAUGGAGAGGAACUUCAGAGUUUGCCCUGCUGGAAAAUGUCCAUGGGUGAAAUUGUAGGGAACACAAGAAAUUCCCUCCAAAAUGCUCAUUUUGCUGUACAUCCUCCCUACAGGGGACAUGUGUAAUUAGCAAUUGCUUCCAGUAAAUGGCUCUCUGAUCAUGACGACAAUCCAAUUUGAAGGAAAUUAUUGUUUAAAAAAAAAAAACAAACAACCAAACAAUCUAUGGAGGGGCUCUUACACUAACAAGCACCUUGCCUGUGCAAUGCCCCACUUGCAGCUGAACAUUUGCCAGCACUCACACGGAGCACAUGGUUUAUGACUUGCCUGCCAUGGGCAUCCUGCAGCACAGGGAAGGGAAAAUAAUCCCCUCAUGAAAAACCCCUGGUCUUUCCCACCAUGGUUCUUCAUACUCAGUGGAUGCCACAGCAAUUUGCAUGGCCUCUGUAUACAUUUGGUUUUGAAGGAUACAGCUUGUGAAGAAACCUCUUAAAAG